UACGUAGGGUGCAAGCGUUAAUCGGAAUUACUGGGCGUAAAGCGUGCGCAGGCGGCUUUGCAAGACAGAUGUGAAAUCCCCGGGCUUAACCUGGGAACUGCAUUUGUGACUGCAUGGCUGGAGUGCGGCAGAGGGGGAUGGAAUUCCGCGUGUAGCAGUGAAAUGCGUAGAUAUGCGGAGGAACACCGAUGGCGAAGGCAAUCCCCUGGACCUGUACUGACGCUGAGGUGCGAAAGCGUGGGGAGCAAACAGG
rnacentral:rRNA from 1 species